rnacentral:rRNA from 1 species
CCUACGGGGGGCAGCAGUGAGGAAUAUUGGUCAAUGGGCGAGAGCCUGAACCAGCCAAGUCGCGUGAGGGAGUACUGCCCUAUGGGUUGUAAACCUCUUUUGUCGGGGAGCAAAAGCCGGACGUGUCCGUCUGUGAGAGUACCCGAAGAAAAAGCAUCGGCUAACUCCGUGCCAGCAGCCGCGGUAAUACGGAGGAUGCGAGCGUUAUCCGGAUUUAUUGGGUUUAAAGGGUGCGCAGGCGGAUUUUUAAGUCAGCGGUCAAAUCGUGGGGCUCAACCCCAUCCAGCCGUUGAAACUGGGGAUCUAGAGUGUGCGAGAGGUAUGCGGAAUGCGUGGUGUAGCGGUGAAAUGCAUAGAUAUCACGCAGAACCCCGAUUGCGAAGGCAGCAUACCGGUGCACAACUGACGCUCAGGCACGAAAGCGUGGGUAUCGAACAG